rnacentral:rRNA from 1 species
UGGGGAAUAUUGCACAAUGGGGGAAACCCUGAUGCAGCGACGCCGCGUGAACGAAGAAGGUAUUCGUAUCGUAAAGUUCUGUCCUAUGGGAAGAUAAUGACAGUACCAUAGAAGAAAGCUCCGUCUAAAUACGUGCCAGCAGCCGCGGUAAUACGUAUGGAGCGAGCGUUGUCCGGAAUUAUUGGGCGUAAAGGGUACGCAGGCGGUUUAAUAAGUCGAAUGUUAAAGAUAGGGGCUCAACCCCGUAAAGCAUUGGAAACUGAUAAACUUGAGUAGUGGGGAGGAAAGGGGAAAUGCUAGUGGAGUGGUGAAAUACGUAGAUAUUAGGAGGGAUACCAGUAGCGAAGGCGACUUUCUGGACACAAACUGACGAUGAGGUACGAAAGCGUGGGGAGCAAACAGG